CCCGCCUUGCUGGCGCUGCCGCCGCCGCCAUGUCGAGGCGGUGAGGGGGCAGUGGGCGCGGCGCCCCCGCUGCUCUGCCGCGCUCCGGUUUGUGGCACUGCGUUCGCUGAAAGGCACCGGGGUGAAGCCAGGCGCGGCCACAGGACCCUGCUCUGAGGGCACCACCAGGGGUCCCUUCCUGCCUACAGCCACACAGCCUGCUGGAGUGACGUGGUGUCCGAAAGGCUGCGCACCUUCCGGGGUUACGGGCUUCUGUGUGUUAGGAGAUGCGUAUGCGCUCGUCAAAACGGCGUUGUGCUCUCUGUGCUCUGCUGCUCAGUGCCUGGCUGGGCAAUGGUCUCCUAGGUCCCUUCCCACUCGAGCACAUGGGAGAGAUGGGCAGAUGGAGGAUCACAGGAUGACAGAAACACAGAAUAUCCCGAGUUGGAAGGGACGCAUAAGGAUCAUCAAGUGCAACCCCUGGCUCCACACAGCACUACCCAAAAUCCAGACGCUAUCUCUGAGAGCACUGUCCAAACGCUCCUUGAACUCCGGCAGCCUGGGGCCGUGCCCACUGCCCUGUGUGUGGCUGUGAAGCAUCAUCAGUAGAACAUUGAAAGAAGACCUCCAGACAGCUUCCAAGCCAUUCUGCCCCUUGUGUAACAGCUGUGAUCUGUACAGUACAGCUGAGCUGGAAUGCUACGAAUGUGAGCCAUCUUCUGCUUUGGGAUAGUUGACAAGUUGCUGUUUCUCCCUGAUGUAAAACCAGAGGGAUCAACUGAUGCUAUAAAGUCUCUUUCAGGAGAAAAACGUGGCUGAGUUCCCUUGCUGGCAGUGACAUAAAAAGAGGGCAAAUCCAUACGGAUCAAAGGAAAUAGUAUUACGUAAAACCAGGAACAGAGGAUAGAGUACGUGUGUUCUCCUCCCUUAAUAGGUAUCAGAGAGAUUAGCUUAUGAAAAACCAAGAGAGCUCUGUUUUCAGUAUCUACAGCAAUUACAAACUCUUUUUGAUACCUUGGCAUGGUGACUGGGAGAAGCAGAGAUAACAUACAGGGCACUUCACUCCUGCCAGUGGAUCAGGUCCAAGUCGGUUUUGAAUGCCUGAAAAUUCCUGCUCUUUGACUUGUGUGUCCCUCUCACCUCAUCCUGGGAAAAAAUCAUGAAUCCUUUUUGAAGAUGUGAAGCAAGAGGGUGUUUUUCACCCUGACUGUGAAGCCAGAUGUGGCUGGUGCAAAGCUGUUGAAUUCCAGGGGUAGGGAGCACUGCAUGCAGUGAAAGGAGUGGGCCUUGUGUAGGUAGUGCAGGGCAAUAUGUGGGUGCCAACUGCUGUUUUUAUAACAUGCACAUCACACAGUCCUUCUGUAGCUUUUUUUUUUUUUUUUUUUCAGUUUGAGAACCUGAGGACGUUCUACAGCAGGGAGUUUUAUUAUGGCUAUUUUAGGGUUGAGAAGAGAGUGUCACCAAGACAAAAGACAGGCAGGUGGAAAAACUUGGGCAAAUGCCAGGUGAGUGUUCAUAGAAUCACAGAGUCAUUAAGGUUGGAAAAAGACCUUUAAGAUCAUCUACUGCAACCAUCAACCCAUCCCCACCACACUCACUAAGCUGUGUCUGUCAGUGCCGCGUCCACACGGUUCUUGAACACCUCCAGGGACAGUAACUCCACCAUCUCCCUGGGCAGCUGUGCCAAUGCAUUAGCACUCCUUCUGAGAAGAAAUGUUUCCUAAUAUUUCACCUAUUCAAGGCUUUGACAGCUCUCUGCUCUUGGUGUUAGAGGCAACAGCUUCUGCUCAGGUAUACUCCUGUUUUUGUUUGCAGUCUGCAUAUAGCUUGACAUGGAAAAGCAAAUCUUUAUCCCUUUUCAAUUGCUACAGCUUAGGGCUGCAUUUGUUUGGAAAGUUAGGAUGUUAGAUCCUGGUAAUGGAUGCCACCCAGAACAGGAAAGAAUAUCACCUCCCUCUUAUUUUGUUCUUUCUGUGAGAUCUUCUGUGCCCACCACCGUUUUUGGUGAGUUGCAACAAGAGCCAUGCCCUUCCCUUUGGAAAGCACGGGUGCUGCUUCAGCAGCAAUUAAUACACACGCAUUGGGACAGUUUGCUUGUGGACAGUAUGAUGUCCUUUUGCAUCAGAGAAGGAUCAUAGAAUUAUCUAGAUUGGAAGAUGAAACUUCAAGGUCACCAAGUCCAACUGCCAAAGCUCCCACCUAUUCAGAAUUAAAGAGAAAGGAACAGAGCUGGACCCAAACAAGCUAUUUUUCCUUAUCCACGCAUGCCUUAUCACUACAGUCACCAGAGGAUGGAGUUACUCACAGCACACUAAAGCAGACAGUAAAACCAGCAGCUGUGCAGGUAAAGCAAGCAGUGUUCCUCCAUGAAGUCUCUAUAUAAAUGCCAUUUAGAAAGGCAGUCAAAAGUGAAUUCAUGCCUUCUGAAGGGUGGUUCACUUAACAGGGGACACAGAGUACCCCAGGUGACUGUAUGUAACUAUUUCUGUCAACCUCCUGGCUGUAAUUACAGGUCUCACCCCCUGCUGCCUUGUCCCCUGCCUUUAAUGAGAUCGCUUUGAUAGAUAAGGCUGUGACUCAAUUAAAUCUGACUGUGGCUUGAGCAAAGAUAGUGAUCCGCAACAGCCAGUCAGGCUUGGCUAAGGUUCUUCAUGUGCUUUCUUUCCUCCUUCUGAUGAUGGAUGCAACAUUUUGCAUUUCUGACAGUGUUUUGCAUUUUUCAGGAGCCUUUCAACUAGGUCAUUCAAAUACUGUUUGCAAAAACAAGACAAAGUGUCCUUAAAGGCCCUUUGAACGUGAGGUCUCCAUCCUUUGCCGUUGCACAUGAAUGGCCCUACCUUCAUUCAGAGCCAUGGCUGUGUGGGUUGCAGAGGCGAAGGGCAGAAAUAUCAAGCAUUCCACUCAUUUUGAGUGCCUCAGUGUUAUGCUUCUAAAAAUUUCCUAGGCACUUCGUCCUGCCGUAGGUGGGAAAUUCAGCUGCUCAGCUUUUCUCAAUAGUAAGUUGAAACUGUUGUGUUUUCAUGUUUUUGUUUUGCUUUCUGCUUUACUGAAGAGAAGGUAGAGGCAAUGUGGAAUUUAGGAGAGCUGGGUUCCUCUCUCACUGCUUGAUGAAGGACUUUUAGUGCUAGUUCAGAAAGCCCAGAAGACCACUUGUAGGGGCAUGCUGUGAGAGCAAGAACAGCAAAGUCAUUGCCUGUGGAUUCAAAUAAAUGCACCAGUAAAGCUUUUGCAGUUCUUCAGAAAAACAAAUGUUCAGGAAUCCACUGAUUAAAAACACAAUGAAGGUUUUAAACUCCUGCUCUAUGAGUUCUAGAGCUGUUUAAAGCUGUAAUAUGUGCUUGUGAUACUUUUUUUUCCUUAGCCCAUAAUCUAUCAUUCCAUUUUUAGUUACAGACACUGUUUUUAAUUUGCCCUCCUUUGCCAGUUAGUUAUCUGGGAGAUAAAGCAGCUUUGAAAUCCCCAGACUCCCUGGAACCACACUUUAUAUCUGUCCAUGGUUGUGUGCACACUUCGCCGUUCCAAAGCAGAUAAACCCAAGUACCACGUAACUCACUGCUUCUCUUGAGCACUAGUGGCUAUAUGGGAAUAUUUUACAGAGCAUAGAAUUGAGCCUAAAAUGUCUUCAUGUGCUCUUUUAAGAAAUGCAUAUGUAUUUCUUUUUGAUAACUUCUCAUUAAAAUUUUGCACUAGAAAAGUAGGAUGUUUUCAAAGAGGAACACCACGAAGUCAGGAUUUGCAGAAACCCAGUGUCUGCCCAUUCCACCUGUCUGCAUGCGUGGUGCUGCAGUCUUCAAGUGACAUCCUACCGUAUUCACCAUUCCAGGUGAGAUGCUGCCUGGUGAGUAAGGAACAAGCUUUAGUAGACCAAGUUUCAUCUUCAGCAUUCUGCACCCUGCCAGUCAUUCUACCCAGUCCGUUUUGUCCACCAAGAGCAGAAAGGUUUUCUCCAUUAAUUCCUCCCCUGUAUUUUGUGUUCCCAGUUUAUGAGCCGUAAGUCAAAUCCGAUCAAGAGUAAAAUGCUUGGCCUUCAGUUCUGUGAAAUCCUGGACAUCACGUAGUUGGUGUGGUCCCAGAGAUUGCGGGAAUGAGUGGAUGGGGUCAUACAAAAAGGGGAAGGUACCCUUGGAGACCAGGGUCUAUAGAGAGUUCAAUGCCUUGUCUGUUCAACAAGUGCCAAGAAAGGUUGACAUCAGGAUCCCAAGAUCUGUCUGGAAGUACUCUGAUGGAGUUCACUGUCCUGAUGGUGACCCUGUCGUAUCUGAUCUCACCUAUACGAGGCCAUGCCUCAUUUCACCACACCUUAUGCAGCCAAUAGGGCUACUAAAGCUGGGUGUUCUCGGUAGUAAAAGAGAGGAUGUGUCUGCAACUUGUUGAUCCAAAAUAGCCUGAAUGUGCUAAGUUUUUAGGCUAGCUACAUAAACCAUCUAAUUGCCAGGGCACUUUGGGAGGACUGAGAAUAUUAUUCCGAGCAUGACGAGGAUGGAUUUUCUGGAGGUGGCCGGUUCUGUUCCCGUAGAGAUGAUUACUUUAAUACAAUAAAAAAUGAACAAUAUGAGUUUGGGCACCUAUAGCCCUAAAUAGCGACGUCUUUAAAUUUCAUUUAAGUCUGCAUCCAUCAAUAAAAUAUUUGAUAUUUUUCACUAGACAACUGAGUUCUGCACAAGAUGUUCAGUCUGGCCCUGGUUCAUCAAAUCACUUAAGUGCUUUGCUGAAUCAGAGACUUGAUUCUCAUUAAAUCAAGCACUUUGUACAAGGAGGCAGGGAGCAUAUUGCAGCCUUACCUCAAUGCGUGGGCUCUCUUGGAAGCCAGUGUGCACAGUAAUAGGUUAUGGAUUAGGACCAUCCUCUUAAGACCCAGGUCUGCUCCGCAUCUUCCACCAGAUGCAUUUCCAGCUGGUUAUUUAUUGAACUACCAUGGGAGUGCUUGAGCUUUGGGAAUGAGCUAGUCAUUGGUGGGAAUUAGCUAGUUGUUGUUUUGAAAUGGCACUGAUUUUUUUUUCCCUGAAUUCUUCUAUAUAGCCUCAGGAGUAUAGGAAAAAGGUUGGAAGUGCUGUGCUCUGAAAGGGAGUUAGACAUUGAGCUGGUUCACCUUUGGGAUAAUCACUCCCUAUGAAGGUUUUGACACUAAGCUACACAGCCUGGGAACCAAGAACUCCCAGAUUUUCUGUGAAUUAAGUAGAGAUUCCAUACAGGUCUCACAUGAGCUGAUGGCCAGGAUGUGCAGUUCCACAGUAAUCCCCCUAAACUGGGUUUAUGUUGUGAGUUUGGUGCCCUGUGCCCUGCGAAACAUGAAGCACGUACAGACGGUCAAUGUUUAUAUAUGAGGCUAUUUCAGUACAAGGUAACUACUGAGGAAAAAAAGAGGAUUUUAUAAACGUUUUGAAACAAUCAGGAUAGCUUCAUAAAAUCCUCCAUGGCCUAAAGUGGAAAGCCAGCAGAAAGAAGCUUUGCCAGCAAACACAGUUCAUUCCAGCUCUUGCGGCAGGGAAAGAAGACAAGUGGCCUGCCAGAACAGUGGGUUGCAGUUCAUCUCAGGAGUACAUCGGGAUCAUUAUAGCUCUGAGAUGAGCAGUUGCCCUUAGUAAGAAAAGCACACUCAGCAGCAAAAUUGUUCUACGUAAAUGGGCUACAGCCCAGAGAUAGCUUGUAUUCCCAGAGCAACUCACACAGACACGAGCAAGCAAAUCGCUGACCAACUGCAGGCUUUUGUUUUAAGGUUCUGAGUCCUCUUCGUCUGUAAUAAUAUUCUGAAAUGUACCUGUUUGCACUAAUCACUUCACUUGUUCUGGAGCAGGAGAAAAGAGCUGCUUUUCAACACUCUGUAAUUUCACCUAACAGAAAAAACAAGUCGGGAAAUUAAUUACAAGAAGAGAACUGCUGAGAGAGAGAGGGAGAACUCAGAUGACAGACAUAGUUGGCACGGUUGCAGCCUUUUACAAAAAAGUCAUUUUUAAAAUGUGUGUGUCCAGAAAAUAAGCAAACAAGCCUAAAAAGCGCACUCAAGAUCUUCAGAAUGGAUCCUUUGCAUGAUGGAGAAGUGCAGCAGAAGGAAUCUGUUCAGUCUUUAUUACAGAGGGUUCAGCCUAACCCCUUCUCCAUCAUUGGUAUUACAUGGGAUUUCUGGUGCCUGCAAGGACAAGUACUAGCCCUGGGACUUUUCCAGCCUUUUCAACAAACGCAUGCACCUACUGGUUUGCUUAAUUUUUUAAAUAAUCUGGGGAUGGCUGCUUACUGAAUCUAUUGCACCAGGCAGGUUAUCAUGUGGCUGUCAUGCUUCAGGGCUUCUGUCUGCCUGAGAUAAGAGUUGGUCAAAGGCUCUGGUUGGGGGAUGACACCCAGACAGAUUAGGAAAAAUUGGCACCGGGUUUAAUGAAAUUUGCAAAAGUUUCAAGCACGAGCUGGCAGCUGACAACAGCACUGAGAAACAAAGAGUCAGUUUUUGUAUUGUUCCUAUGCUCCCUACAGAGGAAGAGGCCUCUUCAAAGAGAACAUGGUUCUCCAGCACCAGCCCCUGAACCUAGGGUGAGGUGGAUCACACAGAAGUCCCCGUGUGGUUUCUUCACUAAACUUGACCCAGUUCAAAGACCUGAACUUUGGGGUGAGAUGAAGCUAGGGGCAGUAAAUUCCACUGCAACUUGUCUUGCCCAAGCUUCUUGGAAAACUCUUGGCAGAGCUAGGAUCUGCCCCAUUUCUGCUUUGGUUUUCAUAUCUAGGGUAACCCAAAAGCCCAACCUCUGCUUAGAUAGACAUCUGCUAUUCACCAGCGUACCAAUAGUUCCUUAUAAUGUCUUUCUGGGAGCAGCUGCUUUGUGGAAAUGCAACUUUACAUUCAUUCAACACAUACUUUUACUAGGACCACAACAUCAGUUUUUCAACAGUUGAAACUGGUAAAUUCGCUGACUUGUACUUGGGGAUUUUUCCCUAAUGGAGCAAGGAGUCUAUUGCCAAGCUCUGCUCUGAGCAUGAUCCUGUUGCUCUCUUUGUUCUUUCUUACAAGCUGCUGGAAAAAAUGACAUUCCCUGAGGCUGUAGUGUGCACGUCUGUCUAUCCAAGAUGCAAUUACAGGGGAACCUGUAGACUGGGGAGCAGCACUGAGGAGAAAGUCCCAAGAAAAUGUUCUUUGUUCCUUGAAUGACACCACCCCGUACACAGGUGUCUGCCAAGUACAUGCCUUACCAGCAGCCCAGCUCCCUAUACCCCCACGUGGUUUUGUUUUAUAUAUAUUUUUUUCAAUUAUAUAGUGUUUAGAUAGGUUAAGACCUCAGCUUGCCAGCACAGAGCUAUUGUCUGCAUGGGCAUGUCCUCAAAAAACAAUGCAGAGAGCCCAUUAUGGUUUGGGAUAGACCUGAGCUGUGUAACUGAGAUCUACCCUUAAGCCUCAAGAUGUUCUGCUCUAAUGCUCAGACCCAGCAGACCCUUCUCUUGCAGAUAAAAGCAAAAAACCACCAGACCCAGCAUUUCCAGAGCUCAGUUUUCCCAGUUUUAACAAGCCUGAAGAGUUUAUUUUGGCUCGAUGGCUCAGUGUCAGAGUUCAGAUCCCGCUUCGUCUGUUCAGGAGGAGGGCUGGUUGUUCCAAGCCUGGUCUGUAGUUGCAAUGGAAGUACUUAGUGAGUUUAGCAAAUACCUGCAAAAAAUUCACUGCAAGACAGGUCAGUAGAAGUCAUUUUCUUUGUGCCAGCAUAGCAAUAUUGUUAAGGAACACUUUUUUUAAUUGUUUAUUUUGGCAGAUAAGUUGAAAUUUCCAUAAUGGCAAAAAAUGUUUGUGCAAAUGCUGUUAAAUGCACUUAUAAGUCUUUUUGCCAAUCUGUUGCCAUUUUUGUCUCAUUUAUCAAGAUGGGCUAACGCAACGGAAGAACAGUAAUCCCACAAGGAAUGUUUGCUAGGAUAGCUCUUCUGGAAUACUUUCAUUUGGAAAUUUUAAGGCUGAGACCCUGCUGACAUUAAAAUUUAUAUAGAUCGUGCGAAGAACUAGCAAUGAAAACAGCUUACAACCAAGUCUUCUCCACACUAUCCUAAUGUGCAGAUGAGAAAGCUUUGUCUUACUUCCAGUUCCUAUACAAAGAAUGAGAGCUUCCUCUGUUCCUGAUACCCAGGUGAGUAGGAAGACAGGAAUAACAAACAACACCAGUCCUGACUUCAUUCUUCUCAGCUUAUGAGCCUUACAGUGUGCAAACAAACCUCUCCAAGAGCAUUGCCAAGCUCACCCUAAGGUAUGUUCUGGAGAGCUAACGCGUGUCACGCCCAUUCAAUUCUCUUUUCAUGCAUCUCCAGGCAAGGGCACAGACCGCCCAUAAAAGCAUGCAAAUCAUUCUCUAGGCAUUGUACUAACACGUGAAGGAAGGUAUUUCCUUGCCCUGAGGAAAUCACUGGCAAAGAAGACGAGACAGAGAAGACUGAGGAAGAAAUGGAGGUAGUUCACUGUUCUCUAGCUGAAAUAAAGGGAAGCUGAGGUAACCUCCAGGGUGAUGGAGAAGGCAUAAUGAGUGGGACAACACGAGCAGAUCAGCUAUGAUGGCUGUUGCCCAUCCCAGGGCACUCCAGAUCAAGUCAUAGCCAGGGUGACUCAGGUGCUGCAUCCAGCCAGGACCUCACACCCAUGGGUGGACUUCACGUGGGCAAUGAGGAGCUGCCCUUGGCCAAGGCCUCCAGCUCAGAGCUAAGGGAUAUGGGUGUCUUCUAGGGCCUGAUGCAGUGUUUCUGUUGCUGAGAAAAGGAGCUGCAUGGAGGAACUGCCUGCAAGCAGCUGACGUUCUACUGCUGACCUUCACAGCUAAACCUACUGGAGAAACAUCCCUUCCACCCUCUUGAAUUUUACAGAUAUUUUUAAAUCUUGCUUCACAGCUCAAGGAAAUAUCCUUUUCCUCUUUCUUCAUUUUCGAGGCAACAUUUCCUAGUUAUAUUUGCAAGCUGAAAACACACACUGUCUCAUAGGCUUCCUGAUGCAAGCUGAGUGUGUUGAGCAAGACACCAGCAUUACUAAAUUGGAGUGGUACCUCUCCUUCUAGAGAGCCACAGCAGAGGAAACAGAAGGUUUUGCGAACCUCAUCAGCUAUUCCUGUUGGAAGUCACGAGAGCAGCACACGUCAAACCAAAGCACUGAAUGCUUAAACAACAAAUUCAGGUGUUGAUUACUAGGAACACACCUUUUAAUCUAUAUUGGCCAAGCAAGUUCAAAAGGGAGGUUUAUUGUUGUGAGUGUGUGUACUAUAAAUAAGGGGUUAUUUGAUGUUCUGAAUGUUGCAUAACAGGCUGUUUUAUACGAUCUGACAAGAAAUGUUUUUUUUUGCAUGAGCUAGGUAGGUGGUUCUCUGAGGAAUUGGAUUUCAUGGACGUGCUGAACUCUCUUUGGGGAGAGCAUUCACCCUAAGAAGGAUGGAUCUGUCAUGCUGCCUUUUUGCCUCUCCCAGCCAACAGAGAACAGACAGGGUGAUAAAAGGGCACAACCCGCUUUGAGAAGAGUGAGAAAAAUGGAAUUAUUUGAGUGAAGGAGGAAUGGAGAUUUAUUUACUGCUCUUUCAAAGGAGGAGCCUGCUCUGCAUCUGAGUUUUGGAAAUACAUUUUGUCCAUGUUGCCAACACAGGCAGCAGCAUAGCACGAGCCUGCUAGAUCCUAGCACUGCUCCUGGAGUCCCCUGUAAGAAAACACAGGUGCCUUUAUGGUCUGUGACCAUCCAGCAAUCCUGAAAUCAGCUUCUAAGGUGAUGAGGAAAAUAUAUAUAUAUCUAUCACAGCAGCACAAGCUGGCACAUGAUGAGAGAUGGGGACACAAGGCAGGGUGACAUGAAGCCUUUGCAGCGAGCUGGAAGCUCAUAUGCACCUCAGCACCUUCAGGACUUCAGAAGGACCUGGACAUAAUGGGUGCUCCACCUCUCAUCGUUAACUUCCCAAAUUUCUGCUCAUCUCUUGUGCUGCUUGGAACCUCAUCUCUGUUCUGGAUCGGUGCAGCAGAUUACAGAUGUAUUCUUCUGAUACCUAAUACAAUGGUAGCUCCAUUUGUUUAGAAUCAGUGUUCCACAGCACUGUUGCCCUUUGGUGGUGUGUCCAUUUGUGAACAAGUGUUUUCAAGGAUGAAAUAAAGGAAGAGUGAAAUUUCA